UACGAAGGGGGCUAGCGUUGCUCGGAAUUACUGGGCGUAAAGCGUGCGCAGGCGGUUGGCAAAGUCAGCUGUGAAAGCCCCGGGCUUAACCUGGGAAUGGCGGUUGAAACUAGUCGACUAGAAUCUGGCAGAGGGGGGUGGAAUUCCACGUGUAGCAGUGAAAUGCGUAGAGAUGUGGAGGAACACCGAUGGCGAAGGCAGCCCCCUGGGCCGGCCCUGACACUGAGACGCGAAGGCGUGGGGAGCGAACGGG
rnacentral:rRNA from 1 species